rnacentral:rRNA from 1 species
AGCGAACGCUGGCGGCAGGCCUAACACAUGCAAGUCGAGCGCCGUAGCAAUACGGAGCGGCAGACGGGUGAGUAACGCGUGGGAACGUACCUUUCGGUUCGGAAUAACUCAGGGAAACUUGAGCUAAUACCGAAUACGUCCGUAAGGAGAAAGAUUUAUCGCCGAAAGAUCGGCCCGCGUAAGAUUAGCUAGUUGGUGAGGUAACGGCUCACCAAGGCUAUGAUCUUUAGCUGUUCNGAGAGGAAGAUCAGCCACACUGGGACUGAGACACGGCCC